rnacentral:misc_RNA from 1 species
CAGCGGAGGGAUCAUUGCUGGAACGCGCCCUAGGCGCACCCAGAAACCCUUUGUGAACUUAUACCUUACUGUUGCCUCGGCGCAUGCUGGCCCCCUCGGGGUCCCCUGGAGACAGGGAGCAGGCACGCCGGCGGCCAAGUUAACUCUUGUUUUUACACUGAAACUCUGAGAAAAAAACACAAAUGAAUCAAAACUUUCAACAACGGAUCUCUUGGUUCUGGCAUCGAUGAAGAACGCAGCGAAAUGCGAUAAGUAAUGUGAAUUGCAGAAUUCAGUGAAUCAUCGAAUCUUUGAACGCACAUUGCGCCCUCUGGUAUUCCGGAGGGCAUGCCUGUUCGAGCGUCAUUUCAACCCUCAAGCAUUGCUUGGUGUUGGGGCACUGCCUGUAAAAGGGCAGGCCCUGAAAUCUAGUGGCGAGCUCGCUAGGACCCCGAGCGUAGUAGUUAAACCCUCGCUCUGGAAGGCCCUGGCGGUGCCCUGCCGUUAAACCCCCAACUUCUGAAAAUUUGACCUCGGAUCAG